CGGCAGACGGGUGAGGAACACGUGAGUAAUCUACCUCUAAGUCGGGAAUAGCCUUGCGAAAGUAAGGGUAAAUCCCGAUGUGUUAACGAAAACAUAAGUUAGCGUUAGUAAAAGUGGGGACCCGCAAGGGCCUACUGCUUAGAGUUGAGCUCGCGUCCUAUCAGCUAGUUGGUAGGGUAAUGGCCUACCAAGGCUAUUGACGGGUAGCUGGCCUGAGAGGGUGGUCAGCCACACGGGGACUGAGACACUGCCCCGACCCCUACGGGAGGCUGCAGUCGAGGAUCUUUAGCAAUGGGCGCAAGCCUGACUAUGCGACGCCGCGUGAGGGAUGAAGGUCUUCGGAUCGUAAACCUCUUUCGAUGGGAAAGAAAACCCCACACCAUAAUAUGGUGUGGGACUGACGGUACCCAGAGAAGAAGCCACGGCUAACUCCGUGCCAGCAGCCGCGGUAAUACGGAGGUGGCGAGCGUUACUCGGAUUCAUUGGGUGUAAAGGGCAGGUAGGCGGCUAUGUAAGUCGGAGGUGAAAUCCUGGAGCUUAACUCCAGAACUGCCUUCGAAACUGCAUGGCUUGAGGCUAGAAGAGGAGAACGGAAUUCCCGGUGUAAGGGUGAAAUCUGUAGAUAUCGGGAGGAACACCAGUAGCGAAAGCGGGUUCUCUGGUCUAGCUCUGACGCUGAGCUGCGAAAGCUAGGGGAGCAAACAGGAUUAGAUACCCUGGUAGUCCUAGCCGUAAACGAUGAGCACUAAGUGUUUGGGUUUAUAUUCAGCGGCGUAAGAUAACUCGUUAGUGCUCCACCUGGGGACUACGACCGUCAAGGUUAAACUCAAGGAAUUGACCGGGGCCCGCACCAAGCGGUGGAACAUGUGAUCAAUCG
rnacentral:rRNA from 1 species